rnacentral:pre_miRNA from 1 species
UCUUCAUUUUUCACACUCUCUCGUCACUCUGACCGGUGAGAGAGUGUGGGAAAUGGGGAGA